GACGUAGGGGGCCAGCGUUGUUCGGAAUUACUGGGUGUAAAGGGUUCGUAGGCGGUGUGGCAAGUCGGGAGUGAAAUCUCUGGGCUCAACUCAGAGACUGCUUCCGAAACUGCUGUGCUGGAGUGUGGGAGAGGCGCGUGGAAUUGCAGGUGUAGCGGUGAAAUGCGUAGAUAUCUGCAGGAACACCCGUGGCGAAAACGGCGCGCUGGACCACUACUGACGCUGAGGAACGAAGGUCAGGGGAGCAAACGGG
rnacentral:rRNA from 1 species